UACGAAGGGGGCGAGCGUUGUUCGGAUUUACUGGGCGUAAAGGGCGCGCAGGCGGCCGCUCAAGUCAGGCGUGAAAGCCCCGGGCUUAACCUGGGAACUGCGUCUGGGACUGAGUGGCUAGAGUUCGGGAGAGGAGAGUGGAAUUCCCAGUGUAGAGGUGAAAUUCGUAGAUAUUGGGAAGAACACCGGUGGCGAAGGCGGCUCUCUGGACCGAGACUGACGCUGAGGCGCGAAAGCGUGGGGAGCAAACAGG
rnacentral:rRNA from 1 species